GGGCGUAUAGCUCAGCUGGUUAGAGCGCACGCCUGAUAAGCGUGAGGCCGGUGGUUCGAGUCCACUUAUGCCCA
rnacentral:tRNA from 2 species